AAUGCNUUAUGCGUCAAAAGGAUUCGUCUGCCCAAGGAUGGGUCUGCGGCCUAUCAGGUAGUAGUGGGUGUAAUGUACCUACUAGCCAGCGACGGGUACGGGUUGUGAGAGCAAGAGCCCGGAGAUGGAUUCUGAGACAUGAAUCCAGGCCCUACGGGGCGCAGCAGGCGCGAAAACUUUACAAUGCGGGAAACCGUGAUAAGGGGACACCGAGUGCCAGCAUCAUAUGCUGGCUGUCCGGAUGUGUAAAAUACAUCCGUUAGCAAGGGCCGGGCAAGACCGGUGCCAGCCGCCGCGGUAACACCGGCGGCCCGAGUGGUGAUCGUGAUUAUUGGGUCUAAAGGGUCCGUAGCCGGUUUGGUCAGUCCUCCGGGAAAUCUGAUAGCUCAACUAUUAGGCUUUCGGGGGAUACUGCCAGACUUGGAACCGGGAGAGGUAAGAGGUACUACAGGGGUANGAGUGAAAUCUUGUAAUCCCUGUGGGACCACCUGUGGCGAAGGCGUCUUACCAGAACGGGUUCGACCGUGAGGGACGAAAGCUGGGGGCACGAAACCGGAUUAGAUACCCGGGGUAAGUCCCAGCCGUAAAACGAAUGCUCGCUAGGGUGUCAAGGCAAUGGGCGCCGAACCG
rnacentral:rRNA from 1 species